rnacentral:rRNA from 1 species
GGCGGCUCGAGUGGUGGCCACUAUUACUGGGCUUAAAGCGUUCGUAGCUGGUUUGUUAAGUCUCUGGGGAAAUCUACCGGCUUAACCGGUAGGCGUCUCAGGGAUACUGGCAGACUAGGGACCGGGAGAGGUGAGAGGUACUCCAGGGGUAGGAGUGAAAUCCUGUAAUCCUUGGGGGACCACCUGUGGCGAAGGCGUCUCACCAGAACGGCUCCGACAGUGAGGGACGAAAGCUGGGGGAGCAAACCG